rnacentral:rRNA from 1 species
GGUUCUUAAAUGUGGAAAAGCCCUCCGGCUCAACCGAAGGAAGUGCAUUGGAAACUGGGAGACUAGAGUGCAGAAGAGGAGCAGUGGAACUUCAUGUGUAGCGGUGAAAUGCGUAGAUAUAUGGAAGAACACCAGUGGCGAAGGCGGCUGUCUGGUCUGCAACUGACGCUGAGGCUCGAAAGCAUGGGUAGCGAACAGGAUUAGAUACCCUGGUAGUCCAUGCCGUAAACGAUGAUUACUAAGUGUUGGAGGGUUUCCGCCCUUCAGUGCUGCAGUUAACCCAUUAAGUAAUCCCCCUGGGGAGUAGGACCGCAAGGUUGAAAUUCAAAAGAAUUGACGGGGGCCCCCCCAAGCGGUGGACCAUGUGGUUUAAUUGGAAGAUACGGGAAGACCCUUCCCAGCUCUUGACAUCUUAGGACAGUCCAAGAGAUUAGAGGUUCCCUUCGGGGACAGAAUGACAGGUGGUGCAUGGUUGUCGUCAGCUCGUGUCGUGAGAUGUUGGGUUAAGUCCCGCAACGAGCGCAACCCUUAUUUUUAGUUGCCAGCAUUAAGUUGGGCACUCUAGUGAGACUGCCGGGGACAAACCGGAGGAAGGGGGGGGAGACGUCAAAUCAUCAUGCCCCCUAUGACCCGGGGUACACACGUGCUACAAAGGAUGGUACAAAGAGUCGCGCGACCGCGAGGGUAAGGUAAUUUCCUAAAACCCUUUUCAGUUCGGGAUGUAGGUUGCAAAUUGCCUACACGAAGUUGGAAUUGGUAGUAAUCGCGGAUCAGCAUGCCGCGGUGAAUACGUUUCCGGGCCUUGUACCCCCCGCCCGUCCCCCCCAGAGAGUUGGUAACACCCAAAGCCGGUGGGGUAACCUUUAGGAGCUAGCCGUCAAGGGAUGAGAAGG